rnacentral:rRNA from 1 species
UUAUGGAGAGUUUGAUCCUGGCUCAGGAUGAACGCUGGCGGCGUGCCUAAUACAUGCAAGUCGAGCGAACAGACGAGGAGCUUGCUCCUCUGACGUUAGCGGCGGACGGGUGAGUAACACGUGGGUAACCUACCUAUAAGACUGGGAUAACUCCGGGAAACCGGGGCUAAUACCGGAUAACACAUGAAACCGCAUGGUUUCAUGAUGAAAGACGGUUUUGCUGUCACUUAUAGAUGGACCCGCGGCGUAUUAGCUAGUUGGUAAGGUAACGGCUUACCAAGGCAACGAUACGUAGCCGACCUGAGAGGGUGAUCGGCCACACUGGAACUGAGACACGGUCCAGACUCCUACGGGAGGCAGCAGUAGGGAAUCUUCCGCAAUGGGCGAAAGCCUGACGGAGCAACGCCGCGUGAGUGAUGAAGGUCUUCGGAUCGUAAAACUCUGUUAUUAGGGAAGAACAAGGGUGUAAGUAACUAUGCACCCCUUGACGGUACCUAAUCAGAAAGCCACGGCUAACUACGUGCCAGCAGCCGCGGUAAUACGUAGGUGGCAAGCGUUA